GCGCAGGGAUGGGCAGCGCGCUCUGAAAGUUUAUGACCGCCGCAGCCAACUCCUGGCCGGAGCUGGAGACGCAGCGAGCGAUCGGCCGGCCUCGAACCCCCACAGCUGGAGGGCGAGGCCAGCUGUACCCGGCCCCAGUGCCCUUUCGCGGCCACAAGCGGCCGUCCUCCUGGUCCGGUGCUCCGGCGCCUGAUCUAGGUUCAUGGAGCCGGGGCUGUGGCUCCUUUUCGGGCUCACAGUGACCUCCGCCGCAGGAUUCGUGCCUUGCUCCCAGUCUGGGGAUGCUGGCAGGCGCGGCGUGUCCCAGGCCCCCACUGCAGCCAGAUCUGAGGGGGACUGUGAAGAGACUGUGGCUGGCCCUGGCGAGGAGACUGUGGCUGGCCCUGGCGAGGGGACUGUGGCCCCGACAGCACUGCAGGGUCCAAGCCCUGGAAGCCCUGGGCAGGAGCAGGCGGCCGAGGGGGCCCCUGAGCACCACCGAUCCAGGCGCUGCACGUGCUUCACCUACAAGGACAAGGAGUGUGUCUACUAUUGCCACCUGGACAUCAUUUGGAUCAACACUCCCGAACAGACGGUGCCCUAUGGACUGUCCAACUACAGAGGAAGCUUCCGGGGCAAGAGGUCUGCGGGGCCACUUCCAGGGAAUCUGCAGCUCUCACAUCGGCCACACUUGCGCUGCGCUUGUGUGGGGAGAUAUGACAAGGCCUGCCUGCACUUUUGCACCCAAACUCUGGACGUCAGCAGUAAUUCAAGGACGGCAGAAAAAACAGACAAAGAAGAGGAAGGGAAGGUGAGAGGUGCCAACAGAGGCCUGUGUCAAAGGAGGUGACCUGAAGGAAGGCUGGGAGGAGCCAUAGGGAUGAGUGAGGGAAAGGGAUUUCAGGUUGAAGUCAAGGACCAACAAAGCAAGCAGGCUUUAGACCUCCACCAUCCAAAGCUCAUGCCCGGCAGUGGACUCGCCCUCGCUCCAUCUACCUGCCCCCGCUGCCUCUUUCAGGAAGGAGCCCCUUAGGAGGACAGGCCUGCAGCAUCCUGGUCUCGGGAGGCUUCUGUCAUUGCUCACACACAGUUCAGAUUUCCACCUCUUUAUAGACAAGAAGUGAAUUUGCCUGGGGCAGAACACCCACCCAAAGAGUCCCCACUUAACAAUACCCCCCCCCCACGGCAAGAAUGCCCAAAUCCGAAUGACCCCAGUUUUCCUAAUGAGUAAAAUGAUCCCAGAUGUGCCCCAGAGCAUGACGCCUGCAGCUCCGGUUUCAUGCAGGAAAUUGGUUUUGGAGAGUUUUGGCAAGUUGGAAAGCCACUUACUGGCUUUUGACAUGACUUCUCUUGGAGAAUAAGUGGACUCCAAGCUAACUCUUUGCAAAUGUAAACACAUGUCCAUCUUGUAAUAAAUGCAAAAUGCCCGUGCAGCAGAAGCAUGCGACUUUCAUAUCCUUGCCUAGAAUAGGCUGCAUGGUGUAUGUCAGUGAGGGCCACGAGGCGUCGGCUUUAGACACAGAUCAUAGCUCUACAGGAGUUUAUGAAUUUGAAGCUUAUGGGAUUUUGGCAGAGAAAUUUUCAGCUGUGCUUGAUACCCACCAAAAGAAUGUAUCUCGAAAGAAUGAAGGAAGAAGAAAAAAGGAUCCUUGAUGUUUGUGACAAGAAAAUGAGAAAGUUAGUAUCUGCAAUACAGAGCUUGUUCCUGUUCAGUGACUGACCCUCUGUAUUCUGUAUAGACACCAGGCCGAUACACAGUGGAGUUCCCAGGCCUUGUUUGCAGGAAGCCGACUGUAAAGACAGCCCCAGCUCAAGGCUAUUAGGUUGAAUAUUUGCUUUCAUGAGUAAAUGUGGAUCUUUGGGGAAUGGCUUCAAAAUAAGUCACGAACACAAAUUCUUUGUAAAUUAUGUAAAUUCCUGUUUAUAUAAAUUGGCAACAACUUAUACCGUCUGACAGUUCAAAAUCUCUUUCAGCUGCGCUCUUCCCACCGAGCCGAGCUUACUGUGAGUGUGGAGAUGUUAUCCCACCAUGUAAAGUCGCCUGCGCAGGGGAGGGCUGCCCAUCUCCCCAACCCAGUCACAGAGAGAUAGGAAACGGCAUUUGAGUGGGUGUCCAGGGCCCCGUAGAGAGACAUUUAAGAUGGUGUAUGACAGAGCAUUGGCCUUGACCAAAUGUUAAAUCCUCUGUGUGUAUUUCAUAAGUUAUUACAGGUAUAAAAGUGAUGACCUAUCAUGAGGAAAUGAAAGUGGCUGAUUUGCUGGUAGGAUUUUGUACAGUUUAGAGAAGCGAUUAUUUAUUGUGAAACUGUUCUCCACUCCAACUCCUUUAUGUGGAUCUGUUCAAAGUAGUCACUGUAUAUACGUAUAGAGAGGUAGAUAGGUAGGUAGAUUUUAAAUUGCAUUCUGAAUACAAACUCAUACUCCUUAGAGCUUGAAUUACAUUUUUAAAAUGCAUAUGUGCUGUUUGGCACCGUGGCAAGAUGGUAUCAGAGAGAAACCCAUCAAUUGCUCAAAUACUCAGAAAGUACUGUCAAAAGCCUAAUAAAAAACCUAAAGUUUGCUCUGA